GUAACGGUGGUGUAGUGGUAGUAACACACGUCUUCGGUAUAGAUGAAACGCGGGUUCGAUUCUCGCCCAAGGCUGCA